rnacentral:rRNA from 1 species
AACGAACGCUGGCGGCAGGCCUAACACAUGCAAGUCGAGCGCCCCCUUCGGGGUGAGCGGCGGACGGGUGUGUAACGCGUGGGAACGUUCCCUUUUCUACGGAAUAGUCUCGGGAAACUGAGAGUAAUACCGUAUACGCCCUUCUGGGGCAAGAUUUAUCGUAAAAGGAUCGGCGCGCGUUGGAUUAGGUAGUCGGUGUGGUAAUCGCCUAUCACGGCGACGAUCCAUAGCUGGGUUGAGAGGAAGCGCAGCCACUCUGAGACGGAGACACGGUCCAGAAUACUACAGGAGGGAGCAGAGGGGAAUCUUAGACAAUGGCGUCAAUCCUGAUCUAGCCAGGCCGCGUGAGUGAUGAAGGCCGUAGAGAAGUAAAGCUCUUUAAGCUGGGAAGAUAAUGACGGUACCAAAAGAAGAAGCCCCGGCUAACUCCGUG